rnacentral:rRNA from 1 species
AGUCGAGGGGCAGCGCGAGGUAGCAAUACUUUGGCGGCGACCGGCGCACGGGUGCGUAACACGUAUGUAACUUACCUCUUACAACCGGAUAACACGGUGAAAGUCGUGCUAAUAUGGUAUAGUUUCACAUUUUUGCAUGAGAAGGUGAAUAAAGAUUUAUCGGUAAGAGAUAGACAUGCGGUCCAUUAGAUAGUUGGUGAGGUAACGGCUCACCAAGUCGACGAUGGAUAGGGGGACUGAGAGGUUGACCCCCCACACUGGUACUGAGACACGGACCAGACUCCUACGGGAGGCAGCAGUGAGGAAUAUUGGUCAAUGGGCGAGAGCCUGAACCAGCCAAGUCGCGUGAAGGAAGACGGUUCAUAAGGAUUGUAAACUUCUUUUGUAGAGGGGUAAAGGUGCGUACGUGUACGCAUUUGCAAGUACUCUACGAAUAAGUAUCGGCUAACUCCGUGCCAGCAGCCGCGGUAAUACGGGGGAUACGAGCGUUAUCCGGAAUUAUUGGGUUUAAAGGGUGCGUAGGUGGCUAUUUAAGUCAGGGGUGAAAAGCAUGAGCUCAACUCAUGUCUUGCCUUUGAAACUGGACAGCUAGAGAAGAGACGAGGUAUGUGGAAUGUGUGGUGUAGCGGUGAAAUGCAUAGAUAUCACACAGAACUCCGAUUGCGCAGGCAGCGUACUAGACUUAUUCUGACACUGAAGCACGAAAGCGUGGGUAUCAAACAGGAUUAGAUACCCUGGUAGUCCACGCAGUAAACGAUGAAUACUAGUUUUUUGCGAUAUACGGUAAGAGACUAAGCGAAA